GAUGAACGCUGGCGGCGUGCCUAAUACAUGCAAGUCGAGCGCACGGACGAGAGGCUUGCUUCUCUGAUGUUAGCGGCGGACGGGUGAGUAGCACGUGGAUACCCUACCUAUAAGACUGGGAUAACUUCGGGAAACCGGAGCUAAUACCGGAUAAUAUUUUGAACCGCAUGGAUCAAAAGUGAAAGACGGUCUUGCUGUCACUUGUAGAUGGAUCCGCGCUGCAUUAGCUAGUUGGUAAGGUAACGGCUUACCAAGGCAACGAUGCAUAGCCGACCUGAGAGGGUGAUCGGCCACACUGGCACUGAGACACGGUCCAGACUCCUACGGGAGGCAGCAGUAGGGAAUCUUCCGCAAUGGGCGAAAGCCUGACGGAGCAACGCCGCGUGAGUGAUGAAGGUCUUCGGAUCGUAAAACUCUUUUAUUAGGGAAGAACAUAUGUGUAAGUAACUGUGCACAUCUUGACGGUACCUAAUCAGAAAGCCACGGCUAACUACGUG
rnacentral:rRNA from 1 species